rnacentral:rRNA from 1 species
UACGUAGGUGGCAAGCGUUAUCCGGAUUUAUUGGGCGUAAAGGGAACGCAGGCGGUCUUUUAAGUCUGAUGUGAAAGCCUUCGGCUUAACCGGAGUAGUGCAUUGGAAACUGGGAGACUUGAGUGCAGAAGAGGAGAGUGGAACUCCAUGUGUAGCGGUGAAAUGCGUAGAUAUACGGAAGAACACCAGUAGCGAAAGCGGCUCUCUGGUCUGUAACUGACGCUGAGGUUCGAAAGCGUGGGUAGCAAACAGG